AUACGUAGGGGGCGAGCGUUGUCCGGAAUGAUUGGGCGUAAAGGGCGCGUAGGCGGCCUGUUAAGUCUGGAGUGAAAGUCCUGUUUUCAAGAUGGGAAUUGCUUUGGAUACUGAUGGGCUUGAGUGCAGGAGAGGUUAUCGGAAUUCCCGGUGUAGCGGUGAAAUGCGUAGAGAUCGGGAGGAACACCAGUGGCGAAGGCGGGUAACUGGACUGCAACUGACGCUGAGGCGCGAAAGUGUUGGGAGCAAACAGGAUUAGAUACCCUGGUAGUCCACACUGUAAACGAUGAAUGCUAGGUGUAAGAGGUAUCGACCCCUUUUGUGCCGGAGUUAACACAAUAAGCAUUCCGCCUGGGGAGUACGGCCGCAAGGUUGAAACUCAAAUGAAUUGACGGGG
rnacentral:rRNA from 1 species